AAGUAUGAUUCUCACCUUCAUAUCUUUUUCUCUCUGUAAGUGAUUGCUAUUAUUGUUAUCUCUCUCAUUGCGUGAGGCCGUAGAUUAUGUGAUGUUGUGCAUUGAGUCGGUGGGUUAUGGGGUUCACAAGUGUACAUGUGCGUGUACGAUUAUGGAUUUAUGAAUGUAUGGAUUAUGUGGGUUAUGGAUUCAGUGCGGUUAUGGGUUAUGGGUUCCGUUUGGGCAUGUGAGAGGGUUUAGAGUAGGUGCGUGAUGGACGGUCCUACAGAGAGAAAACGAAAACAUAAAUAAAAAGAAAAAAUAAUCGAGCAUUCGAAGACUGUAAUGCCACAAGUUUAAGUGUGUGGCUAUGUCCUGCGGUUUCGUUUAUGCUUUAUCACCAACACUCAAUUUUCUCUCUUGAGUUUUUUUUUGUGAUAUCUUUCUUUUUGUUUGGGGAUUUGAUAUAUUAUUGAUCAGAUCUUUCAAAUAGAAAUCGUGUGUUUGUUAAAGGUGCGAUUAUUAUUGUUUUAAUUCAAUUUUAAUUUUAAUUUACAGUUACUUUUUAGGUUUUGGGAUUUUUUUUCUGCGAUUAACUUUUAAUGGUUUGCUUGCUAGAAUGUCUCUAUGAAUUAUGUCAAUUUUUAGUCAAGAUUUGUAAUGGAGAAAAGCAUUUUGUUUUAUGCUACUUGGAUUUAUGACGAAGUAAUAUUUUAAAUUGUGGGGACUUUUAAAACUAAUGUGGAUUUGUUUGAUCGUUGUCAUGUUUUAGUUGUAUUUUUUUUGUGUUUUUAAUUUGAAAUAAAGGUAAGCAAGUUUUUUAUAUCCAUAUUUGCAAUUAUCUCUCAUGGCUAUUAUGAUAAACUAGGUACAUGUAAGAAAAAAACAAGAGGGCUAACAUGAUGUUUGAAAAUACAUGCAAGAUCAUUCGAAGAACGUCAAGAAUUUACCUUAGAUGAUGAAGAAGAAUCGAUUGGACCCAAAGACAAAGUAGUAUAUGACUUGAGUUAUUUCUAAGGCAUCAUGGCAAGGAAUCCAAACUUUUGCCCUUUGAUUUAUACAAAUUUCAAAGGCUUGACCAUGGAUGAAUGAGAACGGAUAUGAGAUUUUGUUAAUGCAUGUGAAAAGUGAUAGUAAAUUUAAUUUGCUAAAUGCUCAAUACUUAUCAAUGUUGAUAAUUAUAUUUUAUUUUGUAGGAAAAAUUCAUUAUUCUUGAGAAAGGAAAAAAAAGAAAUAUUUUCUCACAUAAAUGAUGCUUGGAGACGCUACAAGAACUACAUCAAGAGGAACUAUUUCUUGAAAUACUCAACUUUGAGAGAAAGGCUGAAACACUGUCCGAAGCAUCUACCAGAAAAUCAAUAUAGACAAUUGAUGGUUUAUUGGAGAAAAAGUAUUGUCCAACAAAAAAUAAGAAUGGAGAGGAUGUCUCUCAAGUUGAAAUGUUCAUUGAGACUCGUCAGGGUUGAAAAGGAAAAGAGGUGGACAAAGAUACUCAGAUUGUGAUUGAAAGACUUGAUGAUGAAGACCAACCUUAUGAUGAUGAAGAGACUGAAUGAUGUUACUUACAUGGAUGGAUGACUAGUUAUGCAUAAUAUUCCUAGAAGACACUUUAUUUUGAAAUUUAGAAAUUUCAUGUAAACUUUGACAUCUUUGGAUGACUUUAUUUGGAGUUUUAUGCUUUUGAAUUGUCAUA